rnacentral:rRNA from 1 species
CGGACGGGUGAGUAAUGCUUAGGAAUCUGCCUAUUAGUGGGGGACAACAUUCCGAAAGGAAUGCUAAUACCGCAUACGCCCUACGGGGGAAAGCAGGGGAUCUUCGGACCUUGCGCUAAUAGAUGAGCCUAAGUCAGAUUAGCUAGUUGGUGGGGUAAAGGCCUACCAAGGCGACGAUCUGUAGCGGGUCUGAGAGGAUGAUCAGCCACACUGGGACUGAGACACGGCCCAG